UCCGUUAUGGUGUAAUGGUUAACAUUAUCGCCUCUCAUAUGUGUCUAGCCAAGUCACUAUGGACGCGAUAGCUCAGGGUUCGAUUCCCUGUAACGGAA